GGAAUAUUGGACAAUGGGCGAAAGCCUGAUCCAGCAACGCCGCGUGGAGGACGAAGGCCCUCGGGUUGUAAACUCCUGUCAGGUGGGACGAAUGGUCGCCGGUCAAUACCCGGCGCACCAUGACGGUACCACCGGAGGAAGCCCCGGCUAACUCCGUGCCAGCAGCCGCGGUAAUACGGAGGGGGCAAGCGUUAUUCGGAAUUAUUGGGCGUAAAGGGCGCGUAGGCGGCCUGGCAAGUCAGGGGUGAAAUCCCUCGGCUCAACCGAGGAACUGCCUCUGAAACUGCCUGGCUUGAGGCCGGGAGAGGGUAGUGGAAUUCCCAGUGUAGCGGUGAAAUGCGUAGAUAUUGGGAGGAACACCGGUGGCGAAGGCGGCUACCUGGACCGGUUCUGACGCUGAGGCGCGAAAGUGUGGGGAGCAAAC
rnacentral:rRNA from 1 species